AACGAACGCUGGCGGCAGGCCUAACACAUGCAAGUCGAACGCCCCGCAAGGGGAGUGGCAGACGGGUGAGUAACACGUGGGAACAUACCCUUCGGUUCGGAAUAACUCAGGGAAACUUGAGCUAAUACCGGAUACGUCCUGGCGGAGAAAGAUUUAUCGCCGAAGGAUUGGCCCGCGUCCGAUUAGCUAGUUGGUGAGGUAAUGGCUCACCAAGGCGACGAUCGGUAGCUGGUCUGAGAGGAUGAUCAGCCACAUUGGGACUGAGACACG
rnacentral:rRNA from 1 species